rnacentral:rRNA from 1 species
UUCAGAGGAACCUGCCCUGUAAUUGAUAAACCACGAUUUAAAUUACUUAUUUUAAUAGUUUACAUAUCGCCAUAGUUAGAAUAUUUUAUAAGAAAAAAAAUAUUCAAGUAUUUUUAUGAAAAAAAAAAUUAGGUCAAGGUGUAGCUGAUAAAUAAGGAGAGGUGGGUUACAUUAAAGGUAUUUUUCGAAUUAAUUUAUGAAAAUUUUUAUAAAGUUGGAUUUGAAAGUAAUUUUAAUUAAAUUAUUAAAAUGAUUUUAGCUCUAAAAUAUGUACAUAUCGCCCGUCACUUUCACUAUAAAGUGAAAUAAGUCGUAACAUAGUAGGUGUACUGGAAAGUGUAUCUAGAACAACAAAUUAGAGCUUGUUAAAGCAUUUUAUUUACAUUAAAAAGUUUAUUGUGAAAAUCAGUAUAGUUUGAGUUUAAAAUAUUAUUUUUAUAAGUUAAUUUAUUUAAAUUUUGAAAAAGUAAUUUAAUUUUUUAUUAAUUAAAGAGAAAAAAUUUAUUUUAUUAUAGAGAAUUAGUAUUGUGAAAGAAUUAUUUUAAAUAUUUUAAAAAAUAAUUUAAUUUUAGUACCUUGUGUAUCAGGGUUUAUUAAAUAAAUAUUAAAAAAAUUAAUUUUCUCGAAUUUAAAAGAGCUAUAAAGUUAGAAUUUUUAUUGUUUUAUAAAUAUUGUCAAUAAUUUUAUUGUAAUGAAACGUUAUUCGUUUUUAUAUAUAUCUAGUUUUUUAAGAAAAAAAUUUAAUUUUUUUAAUAUUAAAUAUUAUUUUAAAUUUUUAAUUUAAUAUUUUUAUUAUAAAAUAUUUUUAGGGAUGAGCUUAAAAAUAAAUUUUUAUAAAUAAAUAUUAAAUAUUUGAAUAAAUAGGAUUAUAAAUUUUCAAUUUUUUCAGUAUGUUAUAAUUGGUUUAAUUAAAGAUAAGAUUUAAAUUUAUUUUAAUUUUUUUAUUAAAAUAUUAAUUUAAAUAAAAAUUAUUAAAAAAUAAUGAUAAAAUUAGUAUAAAUUUAUGUAUAAUUUUAAGAAUUAAAGGUUAAAUAAAGGAAUUCGGCAAAUAAUUUUUCACCUGUUUAUUAAAAACAUGGCCUUUUGAAUUUAAUUUGAGGUUUUACCUGCUCAAUGAGUAAUUAAAUAGCCGCGGUAUAUUGACCGUGCAAAGGUAGCAUAAUCAUUUGUUUUUUAAUUGAAAGCUAGAAUGAAGGGUCGCAUGAGAAAAUUUCUGUCUCUAUUUAAAUUAAUUAAAAUUUUAUUUUUAAGUUAAAAAGCUUAAAUAAUUUUUGAAGACGAGAAGACCCUAUAGAGUUUUAUAGUCUGGUAAUUUAUGAAAUUUAGAAUUUAAUUUGUUUAAUUUACUAUAUUAUUUGAUUGGGGUGAUUGAAAAAUUUAAUAAACUUUUUUAUAGUAGUUACAUAAAUUAGUGAAUAUUUGAUCCUUAAUUAAAGAUUAAAAGAUAAAGUUACCUUAGGGAUAACAGCGUAAUUUUUUUUUAGAGUUCAAAUUAAAAAAAAAGAUUGCGACCUCGAUGUUGGAUUAAAAUAUAUUUUUGGUGUAGAAGCUGAUAAAUUGGGUCUGUUCGACCUUUAAAAUUUUACUUGAUCUGAGUUCAAACCGGUGUAAGCCAGGUUGGUUUCUAUCUCGAAAUAAAUAAAAUAUUUUAGUACGAAAGGACCAAAUAUUUAAUUUAUAAUUUUAUUUAUGAAUAAAAAUAAUUAUUUUGGCAGAAUAGUGCAAUAGAUUUAGAAUCUUUUUAUGUAAUCUUAUUACAAAUAAUACUUGAUAUUAAAGGAUUUAUUUAUAAUAUUAAUUUCUAUGAUAAUUUUAGUUAUUUGUGUAAUAGUUAGGGUGGCCUUUUUAACAUUGUUGGAACGUAAGGUUUUAGGAUAUAUUCAAAUUC